rnacentral:rRNA from 1 species
UACGUAGGGCGCAAGCGUUGUCCGGAAUUAUUGGGCGUAAAGAGCUCGUAGGCGGUUUGUCGCGUCUGCUGUGAAAACCUAAGGCUCAACCAUGGGCUUGCAGUGGGUACGGGCAGACUAGAGUGCGGUAGGGGUGACUGGAAUUCCUGGUGUAGCGGUGGAAUGCGCAGAUAUCAGGAGGAACACCGAUGGCGAAGGCAGGUCACUGGGCCGCAACUGACGCUGAGGAGCGAAAGCAUGGGGAGCGAACAGG